GUGCACGUGGGCUUAGUGGUUAGUACGUUCACCUCACAUCGCCAGGGGGUUCGGGGGUUCGAUUCCCACCGUGGCCC